rnacentral:lncRNA from 1 species
AGGCCAGAAACAAACAAUUGAAGGAGAUAUUGUGAAAACUGAGGCUCUCGGCUAGAAAUUGUUGAGCAAGAAAUGGAGCUGCUGCAGAUUCCAGAGGAGCAAACCUGUGUGUUCAUCACAGGGAUGAAGCAUUGCACGAAAGAGCAUCACGGAGUCAUAAGGAUGAAACAAGCUCAAGCUGCAGAACGAGAAAAUAAACGAGAGGAAGUUUUUUUUGAGGAGAGAUAGAUCACCUCGUUAGGGAGGAAGUCGGACUUAAUUGGCUGCCGCUCGGGGGCCUGGCUGAUCUCGGGGAAGC